ensembl:lncRNA
UUUAAUAAUUUUUCAGUGACAUAUAUUUUAAAUGUUACAUACUUUAUCUGUAAGCUUAAAUUAUUUAUAUAUAACUGAAAAGUUUUAUUAUGCAUAUUAGUUAUGUUAUUAUACCUAAAAAACCCAUGUCUUUGGAGAAUACUGACAGAUGUAAAUUUGUUUAUUUCUAUAUCAAAUGACUCCAAACGACUAUGCUUUAAUAGUAACGUCACAUGAAGAAACUGAAUAAAGUUUGGGGUAUUUAGAUUGAAGAAAAUAAGACAUAAGAGAGGUAUGAAAUCAUUCUUUAACAUUUGAAGGGUUAUUUUGUGAAUGAGGGAUUAGAAUUAUUUUGUGUGUCCUGGGGGAAGAAUGAGAAGCAGUCUAUGUGGAGUUUUGGCUCCCCGUGAGAAUGAACUUUCUGGUGAAUAAAACUGUGGCAUCGACUGGCUAGCCAUUUCCCAAAUUUGUUUCUUCUCGUCCUGACGCACCGUUAGGCGGUAUUUCCCAGCCUCCUUUGCGGUUAGAUGCGUCCACGUGACUGGGGUCUGACUGAUGGAGUGAGAUGUUUGCUGCUGUCAGGCCUGGUCCAUGAAUACCCUCCUGGCACCUUCUUCCAUGCUCGUUCUCCUUCCACUGGCUUGAUGCUGAUGAUUCUGGAAGCCUUGGAAGCUACACGCCAAAGAGAGAAGGAGCCUGUGCCCUGAGUCAGUGCUUGGAGGGGAGCCUGCCACCAGUCAGACUCAUAAGCAGCAGACUCCUACCCAGCUGUGGUAAGUUGAGCUCCUAUACCCUGAGGAGCAGCGUGUAAACACUGAUGGAGGUAGAAAGAGGUGAACAUUGAGUGGUGACAAAGAUGGCGGAGGACAAGCAGAACAGGAGCUGUGCUCUUCAUGCAGGUGCUUGGAGAAAACAAGUCAUGUCCCCAACCUCAAAGUGGCAUUGCUGUCAGGGAAGAAGCCUGUGCAAUGAGUGGGACGGGCUGAUGGAAUCUCUUAGAGGACCCUGCAAAGCUUGGGUUCUGCUGGAUCCACUGCCUCAUUUCAUUCUGGUCUCUGCUCAUCGUCACCUCCACAGAGAGCCCACUCCUGACAUGCCAUCUCCAACACCUCCCCUUAGUCUCCCAGCCCUUGCUCUGCUGCAGAUUUUCCUUACUUCCUUUUAUCUCUGCCUGAAUUAUAUUAUCUAUUGGUGUGUUUUUUAUUUGUUUAUGGUCUGUCUCCCUGCACUAGAAUGUAAGCCCGGUGAGGACAGGUGCUCUGUUUCUAGGAUGCACCUCUGUUUCCCCAUAGACACUCAAUUCCAUUUGUUAUCGAGUGGACGAUUAUGUGAAUUCCAUAUCUUGGGCUUCUCCUGAAAAGAUCUAAAGCUCUACAACUCUGCUUUUCAGAAAAGAUUUGGAACAGAUCAUGGUCUAUGGAGUUUUUUUCUUCUUUGCUAAAUUAAGCUAAAAAUGACUUUUCCUCCCAGGAUUAAGUUCACGCCAUGCCUCUAUGUUCACCACUAACGGGGAGACAGAAAUCCUUAGUACCUGUGAGGGUAAUUUUGACUUACAUUUGUAAAUUUCCUAAGGAAAUUGCCUGAUAUUCUCAGACACCGUAAAGCCUCACUUAGUAGCUUUCAUGAAUUUGUAAUGGUAUGGGCAGAAUUUGGCUUGAAGUAUAUUUUCUCUUUUGUUUUCUGAAAUAAGGUUUUGCCGUGUCAAGUAAUAGUCUGAACAAGAUUGCAUGGGAACUGCUAAACUGAUUAACAAAAUAAUUUCUUAUCCAAGUUUUUCUAGAGUAUUCAGCCACACGAAUACACCCGUGCUCCAAUGGUUUUAAUGACUCAUCUCUAUUGAAUGGAACAGGUGAAAUAGAACCUUGAAUUCAAAUGCUAACUUUGGGUCUCGUUUGAACCUUACAACAAACGAUAAAAUUUUGCAGAGACCAGGACACAAAAUUUGUGUACUCCAUUUUUGGCAACAAACAUUAAGAAACAAUUAAUAAAAUAGAUGCGUUCAAAGAAAGUCCCCUUGAUAGUUGAGCCCUAGGUUGUGCCUCGAAAUUCCUGUUUUUUUCAUUUGCUCAUCUAGAAGGUGAUAAUGCCACCAUUGUUAGGCAACCGCAUCUAGUUCCUAAGCCAGUCCUGACUAGGGCCAGAGGCAUAUUAGCAUCAUUGUUCCCACCAGUAAAACAUAAUUAAAAUAAUAAUACUUGCCGUUUCCUGAAUGCUUACUACAUGCCACAUAGUAUGAACUUAAAUAGGAUUUCCUUUAGUCUUCUUGAUCAAGCCCAUGAGUUAGGCAUUGUGUCAUUUUACAAAUGGGGAAACUGAGGCUCAAAGAAGUUAAUUAAUUUAUGCCCCAAAGUCCCACAGCUAGUAAGCAGCAAAGCCAGGAUUUAGAACCAAUGCUUUUAACCCUCAAGUCACUGCUCUUAUCCAGCGCACCAACGACAGAUGGCCUUUGGUGCCGUACACUCAGCCUCGGUGCACUGAAUAAGUCCCGUGUGCCCUGCCAUCCUCCAAGGCUCUUCCCUCCAGCACUCCUGUGGCUGUUGCAGUCCACAGGGCUGGAGCUCUGCCUUGGUUUCUCUUCCUAGCCCUCUAGUUAUUUCCAGUAACAGCCUACUGUUCCUGGCCCAAUGUAUGACUGAUAUUUGGCAUGUUCUCCUUCGUAUGGCAACUCCCAGGGACAUACUCCAGCCCACUGAUGAGAACUCUUUGAUUCUCUUGCCUGUCAGAAUCACAUCUGAGCUUGCUCAGUCCUUUAAUAUUGCUUUUCAUCGCCUUCUCCAGGCUCUAUAGACAACAUAGUUUUCCCUAGUCCCAUCCUAAUGACCAUGGC